GGUUAAGUUAGAAAGGGCGCACGGUGGAUGCCUUGGCACUAGGAGCCGAUGAAGGACGGGACGAACACCGAUAUGCUUCGGGGAGCUGUAAGCAAGCUUUGAUCCGGAGAUUUCCGAAUGGGGAAACCCACCACUCGUAAUGGAGUGGUAUCCAUAUCUGAAUUCAUAGGAUAUGAGAAGGCAGACCCGGGGAACUGAAACAUCUAAGUACCCGGAGGAAGAGAAAGCAAAUGCGAUUCCCUGAGUAGCGGCGAGCGAAACGGGAUUAGCCCAAACCAAGAGGCUUGCCUCUUGGGGUUGUAGGACACUCUGUACGGAGUUACAAAAGAACGAGGUAGAUGAAGAGGUCUGGAAAGGCCCGCCAUAGGAGGUAACAGCCCUGUAGUCAAAACUUCGUUCUCUCCUGAGUGGAUCCUGAGUACGGCGGAACACGUGAAAUUCCGUCGGAAUCCGGGAGGACCAUCUCCCAAGGCUAAAUACUCCCUAGUGACCGAUAGUGAACCAGUACCGUGAGGGAAAGGUGAAAAGCACCCCGGAAGGGGAGUGAAAGAGAUCCUGAAACCGUGUGCCUACAAGUAGUCAGAGCCCGUUAACGGGUGAUGGCGUGCCUUUUGUAGAAUGAACCGGCGAGUUACGAUCCCGUGCAAGGUUAAGCAGAAGAUGCGGAGCCGCAGCGAAAGCGAGUCUGAAUAGGGCGCAUGAGUACGUGGUCGUAGACCCGAAACCAGGUGAUCUACCCAUGUCCAGGGUGAAGUUCAGGUAACACUGAAUGGAGGCCCGAACCCACGCACGUUGAAAAGUGCGGGGAUGAGGUGUGGGUAGGGGUGAAAUGCCAAUCGAACCUGGAGAUAGCUGGUUCUCUCCGAAAUAGCUUUAGGGCUAGCCUCAAGGUAAGAGUCUUGGAGGUAGAGCACUGAUUGGACUAGGGGCCCCUACCGGGUUACCGAAUUCAGUCAAACUCCGAAUGCCAAUGACUUAUCCUUGGGAGUCAGACUGCGAGUGAUAAGAUCCGUAGUCGAAAGGGAAACAGCCCAGACCGCCAGCUAAGGUCCCAAAGUAUACGUUAAGUGGAAAAGGAUGUGGAGUUGCUUAGACAACCAGGAUGUUGGCUUAGAAGCAGCCACCAUUUAAAGAGUGCGUAAUAGCUCACUGGUCGAGUGACUCUGCGCCGAAAAUGUACCGGGGCUAAACGUAUCACCGAAGCUGCGGACUGUUCUUCGAACAGUGGUAGGAGAGCGUUCUAAGGGCUGUGAAGCCAGACCGGAAGGACUGGUGGAGCGCUUAGAAGUGAGAAUGCCGGUAUGAGUAGCGAAAGAGGGGUGAGAAUCCCCUCCACCGAAUGCCUAAGGUUUCCUGAGGAAGGCUCGUCCGCUCAGGGUUAGUCGGGACCUAAGCCGAGGCCGAAAGGCGUAGGCGAUGGACAACAGGUUGAUAUUCCUGUACCACCUCCUCACCAUUUGAGNNNNNNNNNNNNNNNNNNNNNNNAAGGCUGAGCUGUGAUGGCGAGCGAAAUAUAGUAGCGAAGUUCCUGAUUCCACACUGCCAAGAAAAGCCUCUAGCGAGGUGAGAGGUGCCCGUACCGCAAACCGACACAGGUAGGCGAGGAGAGAAUCCUAAGGUGAUCGAGAGAACUCUCGUUAAGGAACUCGGCAAAAUGACCCCGUAACUUCGGGAGAAGGGGUGCUCUGUUAGGGUGCAAGCCCGAGAGAGCCGCAGUGAAUAGGCCCAGGCGACUGUUUAGCAAAAACACAGGUCUCUGCGAAGCCGUAAGGCGAAGUAUAGGGGCUGACGCCUGCCCGGUGCUGGAAGGUUAAGAGGAGCGCUUAGCGUAAGCGAAGGUGCGAAUUGAAGCCCCAGUAAACGGCGGCCGUAACUAUAACGGUCCUAAGGUAGCGAAAUUCCUUGUCGGGUAAGUUCCGACCCGCACGAAAGGCGCAACGAUCUGGGCACUGUCUCAACGAGAGACUCGGUGAAAUUAUAGUACCUGUGAAGAUGCAGGUUACCCGCGACAGGACGGAAAGACCCCGUGGAGCUUUACUGCAGCCUGAUAUUGAAUGUUGGUACAGCUUGUACAGGAUAGGUAGGAGCCUUGGAAACCGGAGCGCCAGCUUCGGUGGAGGCAUCGGUGGGAUACUACCCUGGCUGUAUUGACCUUCUAACCCGCCGCCCUUAUCGGGCGGGGAGACAGUGUCAGGUGGGCAGUUUGACUGGGGCGGUCGCCUCCUAAAAGGUAACGGAGGCGCCCAAAGGUUCCCUCAGAAUGGUUGGAAAUCAUUCGCAGAGUGUAAAGGCACAAGGGAGCUUGACUGCGAGACCUACAAGUCGAGCAGGGACGAAAGUCGGGCUUAGUGAUCCGGUGGUUCCGCAUGGAAGGGCCAUCGCUCAACGGAUAAAAGCUACCCCGGGGAUAACAGGCUUAUCUCCCCCAAGAGUCCACAUCGACGGGGAGGUUUGGCACCUCGAUGUCGGCUCAUCGCAUCCUGGGGCUGUAGUCGGUCCCAAGGGUUGGGCUGUUCGCCCAUUAAAGCGGUACGCGAGCUGGGUUCAGAACGUCGUGAGACAGUUCGGUCCCUAUCCGUCGCGGGCGCAGGAAAUUUGAGAGGAGCUGUCCUUAGUACGAGAGGACCGGGAUGGACGCACCGCUGGUGUACCAGUUGUUCUGCCAAGGGCAUCGCUGGGUAGCUAUGUGCGGACGGGAUAAGUGCUGAAAGCAUCUAAGCAUGAAGCCCCCCUCAAGAUGAGAUUUCCCAUUCCGCAAGGAAGUAAGAUCCCUGAAAGAUGAUCAGGUUGAUAGGUCUGAGGUGGAAGUGUGGCGACACAUGGAGCUGACAGAUACUAAUCGAUCGAGGACUUAACCAA
rnacentral:rRNA from 1 species